GACGAACGCUGGCGGCGUGCUUAACACAUGCAAGUCGAACGGAAAGGCCCCUUUUUGGGUACUCGCUUGGCGAACGGGUGCGUAACUCGUGCGUAACCUGCCCUCCCCUUCGUUUUAUCUUCCUUAAACUGGGUCUAAUACCUGAUAGGAAUCCUUUCUUUCUGGUGGGUGUUGGAAAGCUUCGGUGGGUUUGGAUGGACUCGCUGCUUAUCAGCUUGUUGGUGGGGUAGUGGGUUACCAAUGCUUUGAAGGGUAGCCGGCCUGAGAGGGAGACCGGCCACAUUGAGACUGAGAUACGGCCCAGACUCCUACGGGAGGCAGCAGUGGGGAAUAUUGCACAAUGGGCGGAAGCCUGAUGCAGCAACGCCGCGGGCGGGAUGACGGCCUUCGGGUUGUAAACCGCUUUCAGCAGGGGCGAAGCUUGUGGUGACGGUACCUGCAGAAGAAGCACCGGCUAACUACGUG
rnacentral:rRNA from 1 species